CUUGAAAGUUUUAAUUAAUUUUUCCCCAAAUUUAGAGAAACGAAACAAAAUCCACAAAAAUAUAAUCAAAGAUAUUCGGAGAUAUGAACUCCAAACCCCAUAAAUUCCAUAAAAAAGUCCCAAAAAAUUAGAAUUCAAAAACCUAGUUCAAAAAAAAAGAAAAAGAAAAAGACCGAAUCGCAAGCCCAAAUGAACAUCAUUCCACAACAGAAUGUCAAAAACUUGCAUUCGAAUUGAUCAAAGAAAUGCCAAUCAAGAAAAUAAGAAGAAAUGGCAAAAAUGUAAUUACCAAUGGAGCAUUGGGUUUCUGUGAGUAGUAGAACUCAUCAAGCUGGUGAACUUCUUGAGGGAAACUCUGAAAAUAAGGGGACAUCAGUCCAGUUUCAGCAUACAUUUUUUCCCCAGUACAAUCUCUCUCACUGUUUAAUAUAUUUCUCUAUCUAUAUAAGCACCGAAUAAAGAGAAAAUCACACGCAGAAGUAUGUAUAGAAUUGAUAGAGAAGUUCUUUAAACGCAGAGGCGAUCCUUAUAUAGGUGUCAAACAGGGCAGCUACAGAAACAGCCGAAAUCAAGAGAGAGA
rnacentral:lncRNA from 1 species